rnacentral:rRNA from 1 species
GUUAACGCUGGCGUGUCGUAAUACAUGCAAGUCGAGCGAAUAGAUUAAGAGCUUGCUCUUAUGAAGUUAGCGGCGGACGGGUGAGUAACACGUGGGUAACCUGCCCAUAAGACUGGGAUAACUCCGGGAAACCGGGGCUAAUACCGGAUAAUAUUUUGAACUGCAUGGUUCGAAAUUGAAAGGCGGCUUCGGCUGUCACUUAUGGAUGGACCCGCGCUCGCAUUAGCUAGUUGGUGAGGUAACGGCUCACCAAGGCAACGAUGCGUAGCCGACCUGAGAGGGUGAUCGGCCACACUGGGACUGAGACACGGCCCAGACUCCUACGGGAGGCAGCAGUAGGGAAUCUUCCGCAAUGGACGAAAGUCUGACGGAGCAACGCCGCGUGAGUGAUGAAGGCUUUCGGGUCGUAAAACUCUGUUGUUAGGGAAGAACAAGUGCUAGUUGAAUAAGCUGGCACCUUGACGGUACCUAACCAGGAAGCCACGGCUAACUACGUGCCAUCACGCGGUA